rnacentral:lncRNA from 1 species
GCUCGGCUCAGUUUUAGUAUAAGGAGGACGGCUCAAGCUCAGCCAGCGAGGGCGUCGGCGCCGGCGACGAUCUCGAGGAUCUCCCCGGUGAUCUUGGCCUGGCGCUGGCGGUUGUAGGCGAUGGAGAGGUUCUUGCGGAGCUCGAUGGCGUUGUCGGUGGCGCUGCUCAUGGCGCUCAUCCGGGCGGCGAGCUCGCUGGCGAGCGACUCCUGCAGGGCGCGGAGGAUCUGGCUGUUGAGGUAGAGCGGGAGCAGCGCGUCGAGGAUCUGCACGGGGUCCUGCUCGAACUGCACCACGGGGGAGAAGGGCUGCGUCUCGAUCUUCACCUUCUCGCGCUCCACGGUGAGCUUCCCCUCCUUGGUGGUGAGGCGGAACAGCUCGUCCUCCGUGGCGUCCACGCACACGCCGUUGACGUCGCAGAUCUCCCCCUUGGGGGACAUGGGCAGCAGCGUCUGGAUGAUGGGGUCGGAGCGCACCAGGGACACGAACUUGGAGUAGAGCAGCUCCACCUUGUCCACCGCCUCGGAGACGAAGAGCGAGUACACCAGGUCGCAGAUGGCCUGCGAGUCCUUCACGGUGGGCACGCCGCUCACCUCCAGCUCCCGCUCCAGCGGGAUGUAGGGCGGCGCUGGAAGUAGGCGUUGCCCUUCUUCCCCACGCUGAUGACGUGUAUUCGAGGCCCAGCUGCUUGAGCUCGUCGAUGCGGGUGUCCGCCUUCUUGAGCACGUUGUUGUUGAAGCUGCCGCAGAGGCCGCGCUCGCCGGUGAGGACCACGAGGGCCACUUUCUUGACGGGGCGGGUGCGGGUGAGCGGCAGGUCGAUGUCCUCCGUCUGGAUCUCCUGGUUCAUGUUGUAGAGGACCUCCACGAGCGCCUCCGAGAAGGGGCGGGAGGAGACGACGGCCUCCUGCGCGCGCCGGACCUUGGCGGCGGCCACGAGCUUCAUGGCCUCGGUGAUCUUCUGCGUGUUGCGGACGGAGUCGAUGCGGCUGCGGAGCUCGCGGAGGGAGCACCGCACCACGAGGCCGCUGCCGCCGGAGCGCGGGGCGGAGGAGCGCCGCCGGGUGGAGGAGGCGCUGCUGGCGAGCGCCGAGGAGGACCACGCGGUGGAGAGGUGGGAGCACGACAUGGCUGGCUGGUGGUGGAUCCGCGGCGACGGGGAUCAACACCAGCGGCGGCGGUGGCGGAGGAGGGAGUGGAAGGGAGAGGGGCGGGAUGGGAGGGAGGGAAAUGGGUUUGGAUGGAUUGGGUUUGGGUGGAGACUGAGCACGGUGGGGUAUUCAAAGCCGGGGUGAGUGGUGGAGGGGCAGUGACGGCGAGAUGGCGAGGAUCAUGUGGCUCCGCCGAGCUGGCUGCCCCUCCCUGCUCCUCUCCUCCUGCUACAUUUUUGGCUUGUCAGGAAUAAAAAUCUGAAAAACAAAAAAUAAUCCUUUGUGGAAACAAACAAUGGAUACUGGGAUCCUGCUCAGGAUAUCCCACACCACAUACUCCCUACGGCCACAUUUGUAGUCAGGAAUCAAAUGGUUUCCUGUGAAAAUCCUGCAUAAUUUCUGUGUUUGUGUUUCAAACAUACUUCAAAAAAAAAAAAGCCCAAGUUUAGGCCUACCUGGAACACAUCAAUUUCAGCUCAGUUCCCGUGUUAAAAACAUGAGUCUCUCAUGAUUCAAUUUGCUGAGACAAAAUUCAAUGGUGAUUUUCUAGGAUUCUCAUUGAGUCAUUGUUGGUACUGAUGCAAAGUUCAUGGCAAAGAAGUAGUACAGUAUGUAACAAAGCAGAUGAAGCUGGUAUUUCAAGGUAAAGCAAGGUAACAGUACAAAACAGUCUGAGAGGUAGUACAAGUACAAAGAUCAGACUUGAUGGAAUGCAAACUACUCCGGAAAGUAAAUUUAACCUCAGGGUACAACAACAGCAAACAUAUUGACGAGAUCCAUAGCCUAACCGCUUCAGGGUGGAGUCGCAUUCUUUGAUGGCUUGUAGACACUGAAGUCACCGAAAUCCCGCCGUCCGCUGCACCACAGAAGAGGACAUGAAGAUAACAGUAAAUAUCCGAUGACCAAAAGGAAGUGUGGACAAAAGGCAUCAUGACACACAGAAAGAUCUUCCAAGGCCACUGGUACAGGGCAUGACACUUAGGCGGUGUUUGGUUAAGGGGGCUAAAGUUAGCCUGUCACAUCAGAUGUUUAGAUACUAAUUAGGAGUAUUAAAUAAGUCUAAUUACAAAACUAAUUGCAGAACCCCCUUAGCUGAUACCUUGGCCUAUUCUAAGCACCAGAAAGUUCAAGCAAUUAUGUAACCAAUCAGUGCGCAUAGGAAACAAGGUUUUCCAAAAACAAGCAUCCUUGCAAAAGAAAAGGCCUGUAUGAAAGGCAACUAACCUGUGGUUAAUAUUCCAGCCAGAAGGUAAGUAGCGCGGGUGAACAGCUUCAACAAAGACCUGCCUCCACCUUUGGCAGAACUGGUUAAUAGCUUCCUCCCCACCAUUGGAAAGCAAAAGCUCCACAACUUGUUUACCAUGAUGCCCAUGACCCAACAAGGAUAUCUUCUUCUCAGCAUUCUUGGAAAUGGCCUGAUUAGAAUUGUCACGGAUAGAAGGAUCCCUGUUGAGAUAGCCGUUUGCAGGAAUGCAGGCGCCACUUGCUUGCUGCUUGGUAUCUGUCUCGAAUGUCGCAGUGUCAUGACCAAAAGUUGUAUCCUCCAUACUGACUGGCAAACUUGAACCUCCCUGGCUCAAGGUUAAAUCCUCUAGCUGGUUUUCACUCUCUGUCUCAUCAAACUCUUGUUGACCAUUACUCUCAGUUCCAUCCUCAGGAAAUUGCUCAGAUAAGGCAUGACUAUUUUCUGAUCCAUGCCCACUGUUUUCUGAGAUGUUGCUGCUGCUGCUCUUUGUAAUAAUAUUUUGAGCCUGAGCUUUAAAUGAAUAACCCUUUUUCUUUUCAAGACGCCUUCGCUCAUGGGGACUCAUACCAACAAGUAAUGCCAUCUCGAGAUCUUCAGGAGUCACAUCCCUACCACCAUAGUAUGACUUUACAAUCUGCAUAGAAAUGAAUGAAUUGGUAGCAAAGAACUACAGCUAAGAACAAGUACAUAUUUAACCAGGAAAGAAUAUGGACGAGUAGUACAACAUAGGUAUGUUAACAAUGCAAUUUCACAACUCAGGAAACUGUAUGUAAGUACUAAAAGGAUGUUAAAUUGUUAAUAUGUUAUCACCUGCAUUAGCUCUUCACAUCUCUUCAAUGGCAUAGUUGAUCCAUGCCGUAGAAGAGCCAUUGCAGCAGUCCUUAGCUGCAAUGGGGAGACACCUGUUCCAUUCAAUUUAUCUUCAGAUACUGAUGUGUGGGUAAUCAAACUUAUAUCACCCGAGUUCACUAUCUUUUGCACAAAAAGGGGUAUUCCAAAUUCUUCCGCUACUCGCCUCUUGUAUUUCUCAGCUGCUGAAUGAGCAAUUUCGUGACAGUCUACACAGAGAAGUACAAUAUCAUGUGAACGAUGGCUCUUCAGAUGCUCUGGAAAAUGCAUCCUGUAGCAUGAUGGUAUUAUUCUAUAUCUAAUAUAGUGGCUCUUUUCUCCACAUCCAACACAAAUAUUUUUCUUGCUCUGAAUGUAAAACUCAUUAUCUUCAUCCUCUGGACGACCUUUAGGUUCAAAUAGAAGCAUGAUUGCUGGAGGACUAUCUUCAAUUAAUUUUGCCAAAUUACGUUGAACAUACCUGGGAUAGAAGAGCCCAUCAUUUAGACAAAAUAACUCUUCAUUGAUGCCAUAUACAUGUAUAGAUAGUUAAUGAGCGUAUAUUUAAGAUACAAACCAUUCCAGUUUUUUGCGGUCGCAAUAGCAAAGUAGUCUUCCAUCACUAGCAUAGAUCCUGCAAUUGUGAUAUACUGGGGACUUGCAGGAGAACUUUUUAAUGAAUAAAUCCCGUGAAGCCUUUUUAUUAGGCGGUGCUGUCAGCAACUUUUCUCCACUUGGAGCAAAGGAAAACAUAUUUGUUUGCUUCAAACUUAGCUCUGUUAUAAGGUUAUAAUUAUAAACUGAUAGUCGACAUAAUCCACUUGGAUCUUUAUACUUCUCUAGCAAACUUUUAAAAAUGUCAUCCAUGCUGGUAGUGGUGUUCUCCAGCAGAUAGCAAAGUUCUUCAACAUGAGCAACAACAAUAGGUGACGGUGACGACAAGGAGGGGUACAUACUAGAAAUGUUUAGGUCAGUUUCUGCUAGGACAGCAAACACCUCUGUUGGGCCUUUUGGAAGACUAACAGCAAGGGCAGCUAUAGCUUGGUCUGACAGAACAUACCGUAAGCUUUCAUCAUGCAUCCGAGCCUGGAAUGACCCAAAACCCAAGUUAUUAUGAGAUAUUAGGAAGGAAGAACAUACCACAACUACAUAACUGCAGAUAUGCAAGAUUAUCCUGGGUGGCCACAUAGAAAUACGUCACUCAGGCGAGUUGUAUAGCAAGGGGCCCAUGAAGCAAAUGCAUUUCCAGGAAAAAAAACAAAGAGUAGAACUUUCUAAGAAAAAUACUGAAGAUUGUCUGGUUUAAAUUUUUAGCAUGAUCAUGUUAGCGGCGUUUUCAAUAAUCAAUUGACAAAUUGGUUAUCGACAGAGGAGAGAAUCCAGGAGGUGGGUUUAGCAAGGUCAUCUUUUCCUUAACAGAGGAGAGAUUUCUUUGUUUGGUUGGGUGUGUGUGUGUGGCCUUUGUAAGGGGUGUCUUUACCCCCCUCUUUCAUCCUCUUAAUAUAAUAUACACAGCUCUCCUGCGUGUUCGAGAAAAAAUUAGUCAUCGACUCAUCGGACGUAGAUUGUGCAUGGACUCGAUUAGACAGCCUAGUUGACUGGUUAGCCGACUAACUGACAAUUAGUCACCAUCUGCCAAUUUUGAAAGGCCAACUUGCAGCCAGUAAUUUGGUCUUGGUAAUUUCAGCCCAGUAUAUUUGAGCCCAGUAGAAAUCAGCCUAUGUACAUAUACACAGAGAGAGAGAGAGACAUUGCAAUUCUGUUUUGACCUAUUUCUUUGUGUUCUCUACAGUUUCUAUCCCAUGCUUUGCAAGAUGCUAAUGCCCUCAGUAUAUGGUUUGCCUAAAUUUACAGUCAGCUAUAGGUAGCUAGGUAGCCGACUAGGCAGUAGGCAAACUGGGCCAAAUGGUCGACUAGCCAAUCUAGUUGUUGGCUAGUCAUGACUAGUCAGUCCCAGGCAAUUCAACUUGGCUCUUCGAUUUGAAAACAUUGCAUGUUCGGCUCGAAAUCAAAGCUAGGUAAAGAUGUUAACAAAUAAGCAACUAAAAGGAUUUACUUUGCAGAGGGGAGAGGGGGCUAUUCUAAGGAAAAUAGUUGUGUGUUGACUGACCAUUAAAUCCCUCCAUGCACAAAAUUUCCAAACAAGAUCCUGCAAAUGCAGAUGAUUAGGAAAUCAGGAACAAAAAUAUUAAAAUCACUGGUCGGCAAGCUAACCAGAAGACGUUCUACAAUCAAACAGUGAACACAGAAAACAAGCACCUUGACUUCACUAGACCUUUUGGAGUCAAGCCCAUGAGUUUGCAAAUUUCGUGUGAGAAUAGAUGCUGCACUGGAAGCUCCAGGAGGACAUUCAAUUUCUUUUGCAUAUAGUUGCAUGCUGACCAUAUUUGAGCGAUGACUAGCCUCGAAGAAAAAAUUGAUUUUAUCACUGGAAGUAUCUGAUUAGAUAUUACAGCUGAUCAAAGACUUGAGACAUGUGAUAAAAGGCCAAAUGGUACCACCGUACCAAUAUGUGAUUUGAUGUUGACAAGAAAUAAGAAAUUCUUUAGGACUAUUCAAAUCUUAUGAGGGUUGAAGUAUAAAUUUCUGCAGUUCAGUAGUAGGAUGGCAUCAGUACGACAUCACUGCCAUGCGCCUUACUUGGUCCCCUUAAUACUGCUUGCACUUCUUGACUACACAUCAGGAAUAUAUAGAGAUGACCCAUUGUGCUUACCGUUCAAAAGCUUAUGUUGAGAUUGUGAAAGAACUCAAAGAAGUUUAGCCAUUCAAUAAUGAUGAUGAUGAUAAUGCAUAUAUUUGUCAAAUGAAUAUUUCCUUCUUAAAUAGCUCUAUAAGGACCCAAUUACCCCCCGUGUGCGCCGCGUUGAUAAUACCAAGUAUAAUAUAUUCACUGACUGUGAGGAUACUGAACGUGAACAAAAAAAGAAAGCACAAACUAUAGGAAGAGAAUAGUUGAUAUAGAACUUAGAACGUACCACGGGCUUUUGCAUGGAGCUCUGAUGCCAAACAAUUUGCAAUGUACAACAGAUAGUGGGCAUCAGUGCGAGCGUACUCAAUCAUUUCUGGUGUCAGAGGGCGCAAUCUCCAAUCUUCGCGCUGGGAGCGAAACAAAACAGGAGCGGAUAUCAUGUGAUUGCAAUAUUGGAAUUUUGGAGCUUCAAACAAACUGAAAUUUUGAAUGUCAAAAUAAAUUUGCUGACAACAUGUAUGCAUUUGGUUAUCAUUUUCAUUAACGGGUCAUGUAUUCAAUACCAAACAUAAUGCUCAAAGCAAAUAAAUUAGUGAAAAAAUCUUUUUGCAGAGAAACUCAGCUGAGUUUGCUCAAUAGAAGAUAAAUCCAAAGGUGAUGUUGACUAAAACAGCAUGGGGAGGAUGGAUUCGUUGAUGCAAGUAGUGACUUAGCAUAACUUAAGAUGUGACUACCAGGUUGUGAUGGAUGUAAAGGCCAGUUUUUUGGAAAACAAUCAAAGCUAACUGGGUAAAUUGAACUAUUGAAGCCCAUGGAGGGUUGACUAUCGGGACUAUAAGUUACAAACUGGGAUUGGAUAGAUAGCACCUUUAGAAAGAGAAUUUUCAUGGAUCAUAAAGUUAGCUAGCUUGCCUUGCUUAUCAAGAUAUAAACCAAGGAAGCCAGAGAACAAGAUUUGCAUAUGUAAGCCAAACAGGCCUUAAUAGUAUGUUCAGCUCUAUGAUGUUUUUGAACAUCAUUAUAGUUUCAAUUCACCAAUUGGAAAAAAAAAUGGUAAAGCAUUUCUUGUACUAAAAUCUGAUUCCAUCAGGCAGCAUGGAAGAUAGACCCUCAAUCUGCUCCUAUAUUUUUAUUAUAUUUGCUAUGUGAAAACAUACAAAGUAAUAUAGUCAUCAUUAACCGAAUGCACCUUUCUUUAAGGAAUUUUGCAUAUUUUCCAUCCUGUCAUGGAAGUAUCAACCUUUCCUGGAUUAAUAAAGCACCACUAACUAUUCCUUUAGUUACUGAAAUACUAAAAGGUAAUCUAGAAUUGGGAGGCAUGUGAGCACUAAUUAGGUACAGAGCAUAUCAGUGCAUAAGGUCAAUUGGCAUUGAAUAACUGAGUGGCUUUACUAAGCUUGGUAUUUUUAAGCCAAUCCUGAACAAUUACUUACCUGCAUUGUCUUGUCUGUGGUCACUUCACAAUAUAGUUCAAGCAAAUAUGCUAAUGAUUUCUGUGGUUUCGACAAAAUUUCACAUGCCUGAAAUAAGAUCAGUAGUAAACACAAUUGUUUAGAAAAGUUGCAUGCAUUCAUAGCAUAAGAAAAAACUAGCUAAGGGUGUAAAUUCAGAAAUGAGAAGAGGACAUAUAACACAUCAUUUAGGAAAAAAAAAGAAGAGAGAGGAGUGAGGGACCAAUAAACCAAAAUGUUCAAACACCAAACAUGCAAUUAUAAGGUGAUAAAAGAUGGUUUAGUAACCUAGAAGUUCUGAUUCUUAACUGCAAUGGCAUUCGAGCACAUGAUGCAAAGCUUUGCUGUUCAUUCACAAAGCUUUUCAACUUACAGUUAAGAGGUUGAAAUUUUCAUGCUUCAGUAAUAGAAAAUAUAAUGCAUUAUCUGACUGAAAUCUGUUGUAUUGAUUUUUAAAAAGAUUAUUAAAAAAGGAGGUACAAGAGCACCACAUCAUCAAAUAUUUCCCCGCCCUUGGAUCCCAAGAAAACACUCAACAGAUCAUAUAAUCUAGAACAUAAUACAGAAGGCAUUCAAUAACUCAAGCUACAAUCUAAGAAACCAUAAAAGUAAUAAAGAGGAAGACAAUAUUUUUCUGGAUUGACAUUCUUAGCUAACUAGGCACAGUACUCCAGAAACAUUUCGUUCAUUUGCUGAAAAACAGUUUUUCCGUGCUAGUGUAAAGAGAGAAAAGUUACUGAGACAACUGGUUGGCUCCCAAGUCCCAACUAAAAACUAUCACGUGAUACACUAUUGGGGGUUUUCCUUUUUUAUAUUUUUUAGAUGAUAAUAUUGGGUGUUGAUGUUCAGUUAUUCAUAUUUCUUUCACUUCAUUAGAGCAAUUACAGAGUGCAUACAUGUGAUGUGAUAUCGAACAAGUUUGAAAUGACAAAAAAUACUAAACUAUCUGAACAGAAUUGUUCCUUGUGAAAAAUGGGGUGUCAAUCUAAGCAACGCAUGACCCAUAACCAGCUGUACCACAAAAAAAAAGGCCUAGAAAGUGAAUAAUAUAAAAGUAUUACAAACCGGAAAAUCUUUGCAGAAUCAUAAUAAAUGUCUUAACUAAGAUAUUUUAUACCAUUACUUACCUUGGCAGUAUCAAACAUAUUCACAACAUAAAUAUGAAAAUCCCUUUGAAGCCAAAGAACAUCAUUGUCAGCUCCAUGGAAGAUCUAGAAUACAAGGCAAAAGGUAAAUGUGCGUAUUUAGGAUGUCUUACAGUUUACCUUUUAUUCUAGGUUUAGUAAUUGACUGUCACAUAAACGCAGUAAAGGGAAAAAUAAUGUGUUGCCAUCAGAAUGUCCUACAGCUUAAAUACCUCUAAUGCAUAUCCCAAUAGUAAACUCAGUUACAUUUCAGUGGCAUGUAAAUCAAGUUCAUGGCAUCAUUUGCUUGUACUGUAAUAGAGCUUAAAAUUUGCAGUCAACAUGCCCGUCCAUUACAAAGAGUUAAGGGCUAUCAUCAACUCAAGCAUAACAACAAAUGCAAUACUGAAAACGAAAAUAACCAGCUUACCACGGAUAGCAAUUACAAAGAUGUGUUACCUUACAGAUUGAAGGAUUGGCAAACACUGGUCGUAGAAUGCCCAUCACAUCAUGCAAUGCAAUUGUGUCUAUCAAAUAAUCUUCCUUCUGGGUAGAGAUCUGAAAUAGAUAACUCUAUGUUUAAAAAAUAACAAACUUAUAAAGAACAGAAAGUUGAGGGUGCAUCUACCAGUAAUUACCUGCAUUAGUGCAGUAUAUCCUAGGAAAGACCGAACACUAUGUUGCUCUGUAUCAACAGCAAAAGCUUUUUCCUCACCCAACAAUCUUGCCAAAUGCUCCAGUUGAGCUUCUGUAUCAACCCAAUUAUAUGGAGUAUGCAUUUCUGGGCAUUGGUCACCCAGCAUAAAGCUACGAAAACCAGGGGGGUUGUUUAGCAAAGAUGUGAUUUCCUCCUCAAAUGGGUGGACCCUUUGUGAUGAUUCUGUAUCAAUUAAAAUAGACUGUCAGAACCAUAAAAAUCAUCGGACCAUUUGAGAGUCCUACGAACAAUCAAUAUUCGAAGUGCUAGAUAUGCAAAUCUCAUAUGUGGUGGCAGAACUUAUGCAGUCAGCCAUCCAGCUUGGCACCUUUGCUAUCUCUAGAUCCCCUUUACUACUAAUUCCUAAUAACAGAUUGAGUUCCUCAAGUAAAAUAUAAGGCAAUCGCGGUACAAAUAUUCAAGUUACUUGGGCCAAGAUUUCCAGAGUCCAGACCAUGAGAAGGUAUUACUGUUUCAAAUGAUACCAGCAGUAAUCAGGCAUGGCCUGGAGCCCUUCUGCAAGCCCAUAACACUAUGUCAUUAUUCCACUCCGUUCAUCACCAAAAUAGCAUGAACAAAUACAAGAACGCAGCAAACCAUCAUUUUACAUGAAUGCACAAAGCAGCAAUCAUAGGAAGUGCCAACAGGAAGGAAAAUUGAGCACCCCAAACGAAACAUCGAACUGGAAAUCCUGCAUGCAUAGCUACCAGAAUAUGCAACAACCUUCCUCAGGUGUUCGACAAAAUUCACCAGAGACAGAAAAUCAAACUGCAUUCCUCUAAUCCUCUUCUAGCCUCCUGGUGCAUCACACAGCUGGAUCCUACGUACCACGGGUCCCGUGGAAUUCCUAAAACAACCAUACGGGUACGACGGCAAUGCCGAGAUCCCCACAGGCAGGACCAGUACACUGCAUGAGCGCGCACCUUGAGACGGUAGCAGGGACGCCUCGCCUUCAGCGCCUCCCGGCUGAGCACUCUGGCGGCGCAAGUGCUUGAAUGGAGCGUAGGAGUUGUCCGCGAGCACGCGCUUGAACCGCGCCUGCGGCUUCUCCUCCUUCUCGCAGGCGCGGCGGGGGCGCCCCCGCCGCCCCGCGACCCCGAGGCGGCGAGGCGAGGCGGGCGCCCGUUUCCUGCGGCGCCUGCGGUGGAGGAGAGCCGCCGCGGCGAGGACCGCGAGGCACGCUGUGGCCGCGACGGCCGCGCGCGAUCGGAGGGUGGCGGCGCCGGGCAUGUCGCGACGCGUCGGGGACGGGAGGGAGGAAAUGGAAAGAGACCGCUGGCUCGGUUCGGCUCGAUUUUGACCGUUUUGAAGGCGCAAGGGGUUCGUCUCUGUCGGGGCCCGGACCAGCUGACUCGAGCAUCCAAGGGCUGAAAAGGAUUCACAUUCGAUUAUUCAAAUCUCGUCGAAGGGGCAAAAUUCCCGUUUCAUGUAGGCCUAAAUCCUAUCUUUCCAACAAAGCUUCAGGGGCAAAGCCCCGAUCCAUCUUGCAUUAUGUAGGGACAAAAAUGUGUAUAUUUGCAUUGCUUCUCGGACAUGGAUCAGAAUAGUUAGAGUUGUAAUGCUUUAAUUUUUAAGAGAGAUGUAAUAUUUUGAGAAAGAGUUAGGGAGAGAACUAUAGUGUUUGGAGAGAGGUUGCAUUGUCUGUGUGCUUAGGAAAAUAAAGUUUAAAAUUUGGAUCUCCACGUUAUUAAUCGUCCAAACAAUAUCUAAAAUUUAAUUUUAAAAAACAUCACAGAUCAGCUCAGAUCAGAAGGACAACAAAGAUUAGACUUUAGACUAGACCUAAGCGAAAGUUGAUCAGGCUAGGAAAAAAACGAACUUCGUGGUAGACCGAAAAAUCACACCCGCACUUGCUCAUGAGAGGCAUCAAGUCGGAAAUUUUUCGAGCUAUUAUCGUAUAGAGCUCGGGCUCAAGCGGAGCCACCCACUAUUUUUAUAUGUAAAAGUAACUAAAAUAAAUAAUCGAGCUAGGUCUAGCUCGUCUAAAUUGUUUUUAUGUUGGUAAAAUUAACGUCAUGCAAAGCUCUAUUAAAGCUGCAGGUUGGACCGGACUUUGUUUUCUCGUAUCUAGAUUAGAUACUCACAAAGUUAGAUCUUCUUCAGCGUUUGGAGGCAACUACACUCAAAGCACUCUUACGUUAGUUCUACGCGGAGAGCCUUAAUUCACACACGUGAAUACAACCACUCGACCGCAUCUCCUUAUCUCUCCUAGCCCUUCGUCCUCCUCGCAACCCAUUUGCGCUCGUCUCGCCGCUUCCUCACACCAUUGGACACAACCCUUCCCCGACCUUUAGAACCUCCUUCAUCGCCAUCGCCCCCCGCGCGCACCUACCCACACUCCCACUAAUAGCCACCUCCAUCGACCAACGAUGCUUCAUCGCCAUACCAUAUCACUUGCACCUGCAACCCUCCCUCCCUCCCGCUAGCCCCGCUCUUCUUUAACCACUUCAGCAAAGCUUCCUCUCGCCGCCUAUCCUUUCCCAACCACCUUCCUCCCCCACCAUGGCAAGCGCCGCUGCCGCUAUCUUGCCUCCCUGUUCACACUCUCCCCCGCCGCUGGUCCAACAAUUAUAGAUACCCUCCCAAUCCCAAACUUCUAAAUCUAGCCCCAAUCAAUAACCCUAACCCUAAUUCAAGUUGGAACUUAUCAAGAUUUCUCGUUGAAGAAGACGAGGUGCUCGUCGAAGAAGAAAGGAGGUCAUUGGAAAUGAAUCUUGCUGGGAUUUAUCCAUUUGAUUUGCCUUUUCCUCUUCCCUUCUAUUUUCUUUCCUAUUUUGAGUGUGCUUGAUUCGCGCACUGAUUUGGUUUCUAAAUUUAAGGGUUUUUGAUUUAAAUCUAAAUUGACUGGUCCCUCCACUUAAAUUUUCCGCUAGCCUUUGGGCGCCUUUGGUACAGCUCCAAAACCGGCUCCCGAAGCUGUUUUCGCCGGAGCCGAAACAAACACCAAAAACGGAAACGGCUUCGACCGAGAAGCACUCCGGAGCCGGAGCACUUUUUGCACUGCGCGCACGGAGCCGGAAAAUUGGGCUCCGACGGCUCCUUCCCACUUGCGCCAGGGAGAUGGCCCACCUGUUUUGCCAAAUUACGCCAAUUGCCACCGCAAAACAGAGGCGCUAGGCCUUCACACGCGCUUUCUCCCCCGUGCCGCCCCGUCUCCUCGCGCAACAGCAGCACCGGCGGCGCCAUGUCCCAGGGCUGGCGCCCAACGGCGGCGCGUCCUCCGGGCAGUGAAACCGGCGGAUCGAGCCUUGCUGACCUCGAUCCGGGGGUUGGGGGCGGCGGAGGCGCCGCAUCUCGGCCGGAUGCGGCCCUUCCCGGACCGGCGGCGGCCGGCCAACGGCGAGGGCAGCAGGCGGCCGGCCAGUCCGGGGGUGAGACGGCUCAAGCAUCGACGGCAGGCGGAGGAGUGUGGCCCGGCGGCGGCCCCCCUGUGCUGUUGGCGGCGCCCCCCCUGUGCUGUCGGCGGUGGCCUUCUUGCUGGUUCGAUGGCGGGCGGCGGAAUGGGGCCGGAUUGGUGGAGCAGCGCAGCGGCGGCCGCAGCUCUCGGGCCGGAGUGGCUGGCUAACAUAUUGGCAUCGUCGUCGGCGCCGGCGCCGGCAUCAGCGGCGAACGAGUUCGAAGAGGCAAUGUCGGUGCCAGUUCGAGGAGCCUCUGCUCGGCGUGGAGGAGGACGAGGUGGCCGAGCACCUAGAACACCAGCGCCGAUUCCUGCUGCCCCAGUAACCGUCGAUGAUGGAAGGUAAAAGUUAUUGAGCUGUUUUUGAUCCCAGACAACCCACAAAGGGAAGUCUCAUCGAGCUGGGUUUAGAAAUUUUAAGGAAUUUCAAUCAAAAGUAGCUCGGCGAUGCUCAUAUAGAUGAAAGAUUAGCUUCCUGAUUGUGUAGCUUCCAGAACUAAUUUGGACUCGUCGUCCUGAUGUUAUUAUCACAAUAACGAAAUAUUAUUCCCUUCUUUAGAUCAGUUGGUCUAAUAGUCUACAGAUGUGUUUGUUAUGUUUUAUUGGAGAGUAUAUCAUGCACUGUUAGUGUUAGCAUGCAAUUGCAAUGCUUUACAUGUUGACAUUAUGUUGUCUAUGUUUUUUAAAAGGAAAAAUUUCCGGUUCAUUCAUCAUAUCGUUGAACUGCUUUCUACUAUAAUCACUGUGCAUAGCACCUGCCGUUACUUGUUCAAAAAACAGUUAAAUAAGAAAGCCUCAAAAACAUACUGAGUCAUUUUAAGAAGUAAUUAUAUAUAAUUUGAGUAACAUUGAAAAAUUCACGUUCUAGUGUUGACAGAUGAACAAUCCAGGAUAUAACAUUGAGUUAGCAUUUCCUGAAAAAAAAAGUUAGUAUCUAACAUGCCAAGAGCAUAUGCAAAUGUAAACAUGACUUUAUGAAAAUCAUGCACUGAAAUUUGGUUUCCAAUUUCCAUAGCAAGGUUAGAUGAUUGUUUAUGUGUUUUAAAAGUCUUGAUUUUCUUCAGAUCCCAGUAAAAUACCACUUCUGUUUUGAAAAAUAAUUUAAAGUAGAUAAGAUAUUAGAUAAACUUAGCACAACAUAAACUUCUAAGUAGUCAAAAUGGAAACAGCAGGAGGUUCAUGACCUCAGAAAUCCUUGUCAUACAUCUCUAGGUGAAAAUUGUAUGUCUUACUUGUUAUUUGGUGCUUACGGUACUGAUUUGCAACAGAGACGCCGCUUGGUGUGAUGAGAACACUAGAAUAGUCUGUGAGAUUUUUGCAGACGAAGUUCAAAAAGGAAAUCGAUCAAGCACUCAUUUGAAUAAGUCAGGUUAUAAGAAUGUCAUCCAAAGGUUUCAUGAGAGGACUGGUACUCUAUAUACUAGAAAACAAUUCAAGAAUAAAUGGGAUAAAUUGAAAAUUGAUUAUGGAAUUUGGAAGCAACUGACCAAGGAGACUGGCAUAGGAUGGGAUGAAUCAGGAAAAAAUAUAGUUAUGCCAGAGAGUUGGUGGAAGGAAACAGCAAGAGUAAGUGCAAGUUAUUUUUCAUGCUUAACCAUGUUCCAUUAUUUUGGUGAAUGAUUUAUUUCUGUACUGACAAUUAUUCCUUGCAUUACAGAAAGUAAAGGGAUGUACUAGAUUUAAGCACAGAGGGCUCCAAAAUGAGGAAAACUUGGGAAUUAUGUUCGAAGAUCUUCGGAACACCGGGGACGAUCAUUGGUGUGCUUCUAGUGGUGCAAGACCUUCUCAAACAAAUUUGGAUUGUGAUGCUUCUCCCAUUAACCUUGAUGAUGAGGAUGAAGCUGACAAUGACGAUGACAGUGAACCAGAGGAGGUGACACCUUCUAGUGUGAGAGGGAAGAGAGGUAGAGUGGCUGAUAACAAGAAGGGAAAGAAACCUAAGACAAGUGGAGGUCUUUGGUUUCAAGAACAAAUGGGUAAGAUUGUGGAGAUGAAUGAGCGAACAACUGCAUCCUGUGAGUCCAUUGCGAGGAGGGAGGACAAAUCUGGUUGUUCAAUCCAGGAUGUCAUGGCAUUGGUGAAGGAAUGUGGUGUUGUUCCAGGAACAAAUGAACAUUUCAUUGCAUCACUUGUUUUUACCAAAAAAGCUGAAAGAGAGAUGUUCAUGACAUUGGACACACCUGAAGAGAGAUUUGAUUGGUUGACUAGAAAGCAUGACUGGAUGACUAGAAAUGAUGUGCCUAAGUAGAGCAAUCACUGUAUCCUUGCAAUUAGUGCUAUUUAUUUGUUGUUCUAGUUUAAUGGUUUGUAAUAUGUCGGUUUUGUAUGACUUUCCUUUGCUACUAUUUGGAGUUGUAAUAAUGAUACUGUUUUAAUGAUUAUUCUUUGUGUAAUGAACAGAUCUGAUUAUUCUUCUCAUGAGACUGAUGAAAGUGAUUCUGAUGAUGAUGAAUGGACUGUGAAAACUCUUGCAUUGUUGAGGGACGCUCAAAAUAUUCAAUUUAUGACUGCUAUGCUUGCUUCCAAAUAUUUCUUGACAUAUCAUGACAAAAAUGAGAAUAGAACUCCAUCACAGAGUGGCUUUGGUUGGACUAUGGAAAAACUUCAGACUCCAGGACAGAGCCUUAAGAUGUUCAGGAUGGACACACACCUAUUCUACCAGCUGCAUGAUUUGCUAGCGAGUUCAUAUGGUCUUGAGUCAUCUGUGCACAUAAAUUCUAUGGAAUCACUUGCUAUGUUCCUCCUUGUGUGUGGCCAAGGUAUGUCGAACAGUGCUAUCGAUGGUAUAUUCAACCAUUCUUCAGAGACCAUCAGUAGAAAAUUUGAGGAGGUUUUGAAUUGUGUGGUGGGUAUGUGUAAGGACUACAUAAGACCUAUUGAUCCUAACUUCAGUACUACACACUCAAGGAUCAGUAAUGAUCAAAGGAUGAUGCCACAUUUCAAAGAUUGCAUUGGUGCACUAGAUGGUACUCACAUUUUGGCAACACCACCUCCUCAUGACCUCAUAAGAUAUAUUGGCCGAAGUGGCAAAGCGACACUAAAUGUUCUUGCUGUUGUUGAUUUUGACUUGCGAUUUACAUAUGCAUCUAUUGGACAGCCUGGAUCUAUGCAUGACACCAAUGUGUUGUUCCAUGCACUAAGACAUGAUUAUGACAAAUUCCCUCACCCUCCUGCAGGUAGGUUCAUAUUCUCUUAUAGUUGUCAUAAGUGUGCACAUAGACAUAUUUACAAUGUAACUCAUAUAAUUUUACAUAUGUGCUUAGGAAAAUAUUACAAUGUUGAUGCUGGGUACCCGAAUAGACCUGGCUACUUGGCUCCAUACAAGGGCGCAAGGUACCAUGUGCCAGAAUGGAGGAGGGGUCCUGCUCCAAGCGGUGAGCAUGAGCUCUUUAAUCAUUUGCAUUCAAGUCUUCGUAAUGUGGUAGAGCGUGCUUUUGGAGUGUUGAAAAUGAAAUGGAGAAUACUUCUCAAGAUGCCGACUUUUCCAUUGGAGAAGCAAAUGAUGAUCAUUGCCGCAACCAUGUGCCUCCAUAACUUCAUUCGUGAGAAUAAUGCACAAGAUAAACAUUUUCGCAAAUGUGAUUGGAAUCUUGAUUAUGUGCCUACCAUACCAUCAAGAUAUGCACGCCAUCUUCCUUCCCAAAAUGCAAGCGAUACAUCAACUUCUGAAUCGAAUGAUCGAGCAAUGGAUAGAUUCCGUGAUGACCUUGCAAGGGCGAUAUUUCUGUCUAGAUCAUCAUGAGCAUUAUGUUGGCUUCUAUGGUUGAUGCGAGGAUUAUGCCUCAUCUUUUGUAAAAACCACUAUUAUUAAUGCUGAGGACUAUGCCUCAUCUUUUGUAAAAUAUUUUGGGAAAACAUUAUAAAUGGCUUCUAUGGUUGAUGAGAUCUAGAAAAUAUUUCUAUUUAUUUUUUUAAUUUAUAUGAACUAAAAUUAUAAAUGGAAGGAAAACAUACAAUUCAGCUAAACAAUCAAGUCAUUUAUCAAGGGGCAUAUUCGACAUUUGACACCUCCAAUCCUUUCAUGAAAAACAGGGUGGAGCUGUUUUGCCAAACGUUUUUCAAAACGGCUUCAGCUCCACCGGAGAAGCCACUCCACCCAAGGAGCCAGAGCCGGAGCCGUUUUUAGAGGAGCCGGAGCCCUGCCAAACUGGCCCUUUAUCAUUUCUGAUCUCCCUCCUUUCGAGUCCAAUCGGCAAUCGCUCGCUCAGCCCAAAGCAAAAUGGCAGGACCCGAGCCCAUCGGCCAUCGGCCAUGGCUCUCCUCGCCGCUGGACGACGACGACCCCCUCUCCGAGAUCCUCCGUCGCCUCCCGCCGCGCCCCUCCUCACUGCCGCAGGCCUCCCUCGUGUGCAAGCGCUGGCGCGACCUCGCCGCCUCUCCACAGUUCCUCCGCGACUUCCGCGUGUUCCACCGUGCGGCGGCGCCCCUCCUCGGCUUCUUCCACAACACCAACCUCGGCGGCCCCGACCGCCGCUUUGUCGCCGCCGCCGAUCCGCCCGACCGCGUCCCCGCCGCGCUCUUCCGCAUGCCGUGCGGCCGGAACCACAAGGAGUGGAAGUUCCUCGACUGCCGCCACGGCCGGGUCCUCCUCAUCGGCUCGGUGGGCCCCCGCCGCGAGGUCCUUGUGUGGGACCCCAUGACCGGCGCGCGCCGCUGCACGCCCGUGCCCCCAGAUGCAGGAGACGUCCGCCAAGGGGCGGUGCUGUGUUCCUGCGGCCUCGCGCGCGACUGCCGGUCCAGCCCCUUCCGGGUAGUCCUGGUUUGGUGGAUUGGGACGACGCAGCAUUGGAGGGUCGCCGCCGCCAUCUACUCGUCGGAGUCCGACGCAUGGAGCCACGUAAUCUCCGUAGAGACGCAGCUCGCACCAACCGUUCUAGUGACACAGAGGAACGCGCGGAAGCCCGGCGUUCUCGUCGGCGACGCAGUGUACUGGUUGCUUCCGGAGAGCCGCAUCCUCGAAUUCGACACAGUGAGGCGCAGCCUGUCCUUGAUCUCGGGGCCAGUGCACUCAGCAGGGUCUCCCUACUGGCAAUCCCAUCUUGUGCUGACUGAGGUUAAGGAGCUUGGCUACGCCAUGUUCAUGGUGACAGAAGUUAGCAUCAAGCUGUGGAAGAGGGACACUGGCAACGCUGCAGGAUGGUCGAUGCACAGGUCCGUUCGACUGGACAAGUGCCUCCCGAGGAUGCCGAUGCAGGCAAAGCCGUCAUUGCUGGGGUUUCAUGAGGAAAGCAAUGCAAUCUUUGUGUGGAUUAAUGCUGGCUUGUUCUUGAUCCAGCUUGAGUCGAUGCAAUCAAGGAUGUUAUGCCAAGGUGUUGGUGACUUUGAGAUCUAUCCCUUUUCAGGCUUCUAUCAUCGAGGUACUAACUUGCUUUCUUUCAACACGUAAUUAUGCAUUCUUCAGUUUGAUUAUUUCACAUAAGAUGUAUUACGGUGUUCGAUCAUUAUGUGCAACUUUGUAGUAUAUCAGCCAUAAUUGGAUAGCAAAAUGCAAAGUUCAUGUUUUCAUUGAGUUGUCUGAUUGCCUUGAUAGAUGGGCCAACUUUUUAUGGGGUUUUCUGAUGAACCGUGCAGGUUUUAUGUUUAAUUGAGGUUUUGUGUUUGUGUUCAGUUUCUAUCACUUAAAGUUGAUUAGGCUAAUGCUAUGUAUAAAUGCAUUUGUUAAAAAGGUAGGAGGAAUCAUAAAGGGGAGUAGGGGACCAAUGCCUUGGUUCCUUCAGUAUUCUUCUCUGCUCAAUGUAGUUUUAUAGUAAUAGCCUCAAAACUACUACCACACACAACAACAAGGCCUUAGUACGAAGCAAAGUUGGGGCAGGCUAAUAGCCUCAAAACUACCACUGGUGCAAAUACUAAACUUCAUGUAUGAGAAUUAAAAAGAAUUUUAUUGUUUUAUUUACCGUUAGUGGAGGCAGACAGAAAGGAACAGGUUAUGUUUAAUGCUAUUCUGCAGUUCAUAUACUAGUACAGGUUCAAAGCCUAUAGUACUGUCUAGUUACAAGUAUCCCCUUUUCCUCUAUCAUCUAACCAGAUUGAUCUUGACGAACUCAAUGCAGAUGCCGCGGGAACACAGGCAGACGAUGCGUGCAGUCAUGCGCUUCCCAUUGCCACUCUGACAAUGUGGCACUACGAGGACCCUCAGGGAGACUUGCACGGGCCAUUCUCGAUGGCGAUGUUGCACAGCUGGAGGAGCAAUGGUUUCUUCCCUGAGGACUUGAGGGUGUGGAGAACCGACGAGACCAAGGAGCAGGCGGUCCUGCUGACCGAUGCCAUGCGGAUGCCAUGCUAUUGAUGGCGCUGGCGCGUUUCGGAUCCGAGGGUCGCCAGUGGAGCAGUGAGUGAUUUGGUAAUCCUUGUGUUAGUGCCUGCCUGCCUGUCUUAAGUUCUGGAGCCUGAUCUUGGUGAAUUUGGUGGUCGGUGAAUGUGGUUUCUAGUACUUCAGGGAGGCUCAUUUGCUGUUUCCUUCCUGUUACAAACGUUACAGCCAGGCUAUGUAUGUUACCUGCUACCUGCUUCCGGAGUUGUUUGUUAAUCGACUUCAGGUAGUGUUUGGUUGGCUCAAAUGUAAUGUAAUCUGAUUACUGAAGGUAACGAAUCCUAUUAUAUAUGUUUGGUUGCGAUGGUUUGCAAUCAAUUGACACUGUAAUCGAAUCUCUUACCUAAAUAAUAUCUAUACAAGCUUGUUACCCCUCAUCUCCCACCGUAAUCAGAUAUAGCACCCACACAGUAAUCUGAUUACGUUACCAGAGUGCAACCAAAUAAAGAGGGCAAUCACCUAUUCCACCUCUAAAUACAUUGUAAUCUGAUUCCCUUUGCGUUUACAUUACCUUAGCACGAAUCAAAUUUCUCAUGCUAGUUCUCGGCUUCCUGGAUGAUUUAUGUAUCUACUGGUAGUAGCGACCAGCAGGUCUUGUUGCGUGUCGGUGGCGCCUGCUACUGGGGGCCGGAUCUGUCGGCGGCUGGCCGGAAGAUCGAUGCAUCAAGCAAAAGCAAAUGUGAUCUGAGCCUGAACAGCCGAGGUUUUACACGAGCCAAGCGACCAAGGCCAUGUUUAGUUACUCCCAACUCCCAACUUUGACACUAUGCAAAAAGAAGAUUCCCCAUCACAUCAAACUUGCGGUACAUGCAUGGAGUACUAAAUGUAGAUGAAAUUCAAAACUAAUUGCACAGUUUUGUUGUACUUUGCGAGACGAAUCUUUUGAGCCUAAUUAGUCAAUAUUUGGACAAUAAUUCACAAAUACAAACAAAACGCUACAGUGUGCUACAGUGCUGUAACAGUAAUUUGGCACCUCCCAAAUUCCCCAACUAAACACGGCCCAAACCUAUCGAGCCUGUCAGUCUGCAGCUUAUUCAAACUAAGGUCUAUGAUUACUUGGCCCUUGUUCAGUUGACCCCCAACUCCCAAUUUUGACACUAUGCAAAAAGAAGAUUUCCCAUCACAUCAAACUUGCGGUACAUGCAUGGAGUACUAAAUGUAGACGAAAUUAAAAACUAAUUGCACAGUUUUGUUGUACUUUGCGAGAUGAAUCUUUUAAGCCUAAUUAGUCAAUGUUUGAACAAUAAUUCACAAAUACAAACGAAACGCUACAGUAUGCUACAGUGCUGUAACAGUAAUUUGGCACCUCCAAACUUUGGCAACUAAACAAGGCGUUGGUCCGGUGGGCGGAGGUAAGCAUUGGGCCUUGAGGCGAGCUGAGCUUGAGCAGUUGAGGUCUUCCUCGAGCUGUGCUCUGUCUCUGUUAGGCUUAGUUUGGGAACAAGGGAGCCCUAACCCAGGGUAGGAACGUCCUGGAGGGGGAUUUUUGUGGCAAGUCCAUUCCCCAUUCUUUUCCUGGGUGGUAAUUCCCUGUGUGUUGGUGCUAUUUGGGAGUAGAGGGAGAGAAAUCCCAGAGAGCAAAUAAGGGCUCAUAAAAUCAGGAAAAAGAAAAAAAAUCAAUAUAGUCUCCAAUGUUUCGUUUUGCAUGUUCUAUAUAUAUCAGCUAUUGUUGGGUCUGCUGAAUUAGCUAAUGUAAGCAGCUUAAGUCCAAGAUCACGCAACGAGAAAUCCACACCUGACCUGCAUACCAUUUAAUCUUUCUUCUUGUUGCAGGGGAGCAGAACCUCUCAAACAGCAUGGUGAAGAACCCUAAGAAAUCAAGCCGCUUCUUUGGGUCAUCUUUCUCCACCUCCCUGUUUGUUUCUUCAGGCUUCUCUCCUUCAGCUGAAGUUUCAGCAGUAGCAGCAGUCUUAGUUGGAGUUUCAGUUGUGGGGGCUGUCUGCUCCUGCUGCACCACUGCGACGACAGCCUGAAUUUCUUCUACUGCUUGCUCCACAUUCGAUUCUUCAGUCUUGUCAGCAGAGGCGGCAACGUCAGCGUUCUGGGCAGCUUCGCCUUCCUCUACUUUCUCUUCAGCCUCAGGUUCUUUAUCUUUGGAUCCUGUUCAAGGAAAGGAUGAUUGCAAAUGUUCAACAAUCAGGCUGUCGAUGAAACAAAUGCACCAUGUAGUCAGGUAAAUUUCCAGAGACAAUCCCAGAAACAAUGGAAGAUCAGAUGCCUUACGAUGCCUCUGCAGAUGAAGAGCAUCAGCAAGGCUCUUAACCUCAUCUUGACCUUCUCCACCACUUCCGGGUGGCUCUUCACCUUGUCCAUAACUGCACUUAAAGCAUCCAUGUCCUUGUUUCCUUGUUCUUCACUUCCUUGCUCUGCAAAAUCGACACGAAUGCUUAUUAGAGAAAAUGGUAUGUUCUGAAGAGAGAAAGAAAUUAAAGAAAAAAGGGGGACUUAAUUUAGCAUUUUUCAGUCACAUGCAUCAUCUGAAGUUUGGGUCAAAAUAGCUCCUUACAAGCGAGUAACGACGAGAUGAACAAGAACCCAAGUGUUCAUUAGUUAAUUACACUUUCCCUAAUUCAAGCCUCACCAUAAGAAAUACUGAUGAGAUCCAUGGGUUAAUUACACGUUCUCCAUUUUUCCCUUUAAAUAAAUCCCUAGUUACUGAAUGCAAUCAUCACACCCCAAUCAGUGAAUUAUCAGUAAAACACAAAGCAGGGGAAAGAAACUAUCUUCUUACUGAUCAAUUCGACUGGAAAAGGAUUCUUCAAGACAACAGUAAAGAUGCCAAAUCCCAAAACAGAAACAUACUGAGGUGUCAAAUGGGUAAAAUGAAAAUUACUUGUAACAUGGAAAUAUCUUCUGAAUUUGCAGAUUUACCUCAAAUCCUGAUCUGGUCAGACACCAUGGCAAUAACCAUGGCAAAGUAGCCUGUGAUGCAAAAAAAAUUACGAACAUGUUUUUGUGGCAAAGAAAAGAAAAUCUUUGUAGAACAACACAUCUGAUAGGGGUAGGAUCCUAGUCUAUAUUGUAGAGAUCACUCUCUAGUGCUUUCAGAAAAUUUACACUAAUUUACAAAAAGCAAAGUAAAAUGUCGAAUUUGCAACUUAUCUACGAGAUAGAAAAUGCCAAUACAUCAUGUUAGCUGUUACUAGGUUUAAUUUGUGAAUUUACACAUCAUACUAAUCAAUCACUUGCCAUGUAUCACAAGGAAUUCUCACAAGGCUAGCAAGCUCACAAAUAACAUGAAAACACGGUUUAGUGACUAGCAUUCUUUACAAAGGUACAGGUUUGUUAUGAGGAUGACCACAAAUCGCAGAAAAACACAAGCAACCUGAUGAUAUCUGCACAUUACACUACCGGAACUGAUAAUGCUAAUUGAGUCUACCAAACUUUGCACGAAAUCACCACAUGACCUGCCAGAUCUAUUGUUCCACACUUUUGGUCACAUAAAAACAAGAAGAUUCGAACCUGAAGUUGUCAUUCUCUUAGCUGCAGCAAUCUUUCAUUGACGAUCAAAUAGCAAAGAUCUCCCUCCACCAAUUUACCUUCCUCAUCAAACUCCUACGCUCUGUAAACAGCAAAGAUUUAAGAUCAAUUGCAAAGACCAUGCGAGAUAAACUCUGGGAGGAGAGAUGGGGAAGAUGACCUUUGCGAGCUGCAACUGCUGGAGUGGUGGUGAAGACGAGGUGGAGGCGCCGUGGUGGCUGCAGAGGAGGCGGCCGAGGUGGAGGCGCUGAAGCAGAUCAAGAUGAGGAGGCGGACGG